rnacentral:rRNA from 1 species
GAUGAACGCUAGCGACAGGCCUAACACAUGCAAGUCGAGGGGCAGCACAUGAGUAGCAAUACGAUGGUGGCGACCGGCGCACGGGUGAGUAACACGUAUGCAACCUGCCUUCUACUAUGGGAUAACCCGUUGAAAGACGGACUAAUACCGUAUAAUACAGGGGCUCCGCAUGGAGAUAUUUGUUAAAGAUUUAUUGGUAGAAGAUGGGCAUGCGUAGGAUUAGAUAGUUGGUGAGGUAACGGCUCACCAAAGCAACGAUCAUUAGGGGUUCUGAAAGGAAGGUCCCCCACACUGGUACUGAGACACGGACCAGACUCCUACGGGAGGCAGCAGUGAGGAAUAUUGGUCAAUGGACGAGAGUCUGAACCAGCCAAGUCGCGUGAAGGAAGACGGUUCUAUGAAUUGUAAACUUCUUUUGUGCAGGAAUAAAGUGGGUUACGUGUAACCUUUUGUAUGUACUGUACGAAUAAGGAUCGGCUAACUCCGUGCCAGCCGCCGCCGUAACAC